UACGUAGGCAGCGAGCGUUGUUCGGAAUUACUGGGCGUAAAGAGUGUGUAGGCGGUGCUCUAAGUUCGGUGUGAAAUCUCCCGGCUUAACUGGGAGGGUGCGCCGGAAACUGGAGUGCUCGAGCGUGGGAGAGGAAAGCGGAAUUCCUGGUGUAGCGGUGAAAUGCGUAGAUAUCAGGAGGAACACCUGCGGUGUAGACGGCUUUCUGGACCAUUGCUGACGCUGAGACACGAAAGCCAGGGGAGCAAACGGG
rnacentral:rRNA from 1 species